GGCCGGAAAGCCGGUGGCGCUCGGCGCUGCUCUUUCGCGGUUUGAUUCUGGGGUGGGGCGGCAGCGGUAGCGCGCCCGCUUUUCCUAGGCCAGCGGGCGGUUGUCUGUGGCUCCGCGACUGGGCGCCCCGUCACGUAGGUUACACACACAAUCACUCCCCAGGGACGGCCCGGAGUCCGUCCAGGCAGCUGCGCCCUCCCCAGACCCGGGCACCGCGGAGGCUGGAGCCGCAAUGGUGCUGAUCGAGGGCGGGAGAUGGAGCUGACCAGGGGCCGGAGGGGCUGAGAAGAGCCUGCCCAAGUCUGGGCCAAGCACGAAGCCCUUUCCCACCCGUCGGGCUCCUGGGUUCCCGCCAGCCGAUUUCCAGCCGUCAGGGUCACGCCACUCGCUGCAAACCCUGAACUCUGUGCCCCCCAAGCCCUGGGCCCCCUGCGGGAAUGUUCAAAAAUGAGUACCAGGGAGGUGCAUUUGUUGAAAUUUUCAGUGCUCAAGGGAAAAAUCCUGGAGCAAAAUGGAAGAUCCUUGGUAGUCCAUCUGUGAUUUGGAAAGAGUUUGAUAAAGAAGUUAAAAGUUUUGUGUUUGUCCUGGAAGGCAGCAGCCAAACAAACAAAAUUCAGUUACCAAAGGAGAAUAAGCAAAGCCUUGGAUUGAUCCAGAGGUUUCUUGUACUUCAGAUUUACGUACCCCUGGGACAAGACUUCUCCACUGAAUUGCUAAUUACUGAUUUAGGGAACAUCAAAAGAAGAUUAUAUUUAUCAACAGUCCAUAAGGAACUAUCCUCCACCCCUCUUCAUGCAAAAAUUCCACUCUUCAUGAUCAAACGUAAAAUUUGGUGCAAUCUAUGCAUUGACUUAGUAGCAUUCACCAGUGAAAUAUUCAAGGGGGCAGUUUUCCAGUCAUUGGAUGGAAUUGUUGUCUCAGCUAACUGUAAGGUACGGAAGAUCUUCACCUUAAAAUCAAAGCCACAAGACACUGCUGAUAAGGAUGCUGUCUAUGGUGUUCCCUUUUCAACAGAUGAACCUACAGAUAUUAUACCACGAAGCUGUCAACUAAUGACAGAUGUUCCACAUGUCACACAGCUGCUAAACAUGACUAAACUUCGCCAAACUGAAAUAAAAUUCGGAGGCCAUCCUCUAAGAUCAGCAGAAUCAGAUCAGUUCAUUAACAGAGGAACAAGUAUUACACGGAACAGUAAAAAUCAAGAUGUUUGUCAUAUCGCAUUUGGAUCCAAAGUUCUUGGGCCACCUCCACUCUCUGGCAGAAGGAAUAACAUGAGGAUAUCCAGCGAGACAGUGAGAUCCGUUGGGUCCAAAAAUAACCGAUCAUGCCAGCCGUCCACUGUAGAGAAGUGUGUUAAUGGUACAGAAAUGUCAGCCUUGCUGAUACCUGAGUCUGAGGAACAAGGAAAUAAAGAAAAUAUUCACCAAAUAAAGCAGACUGUACCUAUUCAUGCAGCCAAUCUACAUAUUAUGCAUCCGCAUCCCCCUCAAGAACCAUCAGCAGAUAAGAAUAAUAACAGAAGAAGAUUACGGUUAAAAAGUACCAGCAGAGAAAGGACAGAGACACCCAGCGGUAGCUCUUCAGGAAAUAAUAGGAAUGAAGAUAAAGCAUCAACUAUCCUCACCACUGUGUCCCAACAAGGAGCAGAGCUGUUGAACUCCAGCACUCUAGGACCCCAGUCUCCUGAUCAAUCAGAUGAGUGGAUUUUUCCUGAAAAUGCUGAUCACAUUUCAUAUCUGGCAUCCAGCAGACAGUCUCUACUUCUGGAUGAUGACUCCUGCAACCCAUCACACCUGUGGCUGGAAGCCAGCAAAGAGAGUGAACAUGACCAGCAGGCAGAGGAAUCCCAGAGUGUUCCAAAGGACAUUUUCACUUUUUCAUCAAGACCACGAUCAGCACCUCAUGGGAAGACUCAGACUAUGUCCCCAGAGGAGCUCUCAUUUAUUUUGGAUCUAAAAGAGGACAACAGUGUGACAAGCAGAGACACCCAAUCAGAGGAUGAUUUUUACGGUGGCGACAGCAGUGAAGAGGGUAACCACAGUAUCCAGGGUUCUCGAGGCCCAACAACUGGUCCUUCAGAGUUAACUCAGUUAACAUUAGAGAGCCUGCUGGGGAAGACUGCAAAGCAGACAAGUAAGGAAUAUCUAAAGAGCGCCUACACAGAAGCAGGAGCAACAGAAAGCCAGGAUUCCUCGGCGGAGCAAAUAGAUAGAAAUAACUUUCAAAUGAGUUUGUUGCCUACAACAUGCCUUUCUCCAACUGGAAGAAGGUGUGGAUCCUGUCAGAAAACUCCAGACCCCGUAAUCAAAGCGAAGGGUCUAUCAGCCCAGCAAGUGCCAGCUUCACUAAACAAAACCUCCCUGAAAGAAAUCUCAGGGGAAAGGCUGAGCUUGAUCCCCGAAGCAUCUGAAUAUGACUGGCGAAACUAUCAGCCGAGCCAGAUGAGUGAAUCCGAGUUACAGAUGCUAGCAAGCCUACAGCGGCAACAAAAUGAAGAACUGGAGGAUGCUGGGACCUCCCAUGGCCUGAGUGCCUCCCAGGUGGACAACUGUAAUGUCAGCAUAAGUACCAGCAGUGACGACACAACCACCUGGAACUCCUGCCUGCCACCCCCUGUCAACCAGGGUCGCCACUAUCAGAAAGAAAUGAACCCACCUUCUCCUUCUAAUCCCCGGGACUGGUUAAAUAUGUUGAGCCCACCAAUCAUUCCUCCCAGUCAACAGCCGGCUGAGCAGCGUCCAGAUUCCUCUGAAAGUUUGAGUGUUCAAGGAUGAUUUAAUCCCAGAAAGCUGGAGAGCUUGGAGACAUCCAAGAUGCUGACAAAUGGACCACCGAAGAAAAAGCACUUAGCACAUGAAGAAAUGUCUGGAAGUGCUACAGCCAUUUUGCAACUGUGAAGGCAAAACUCACACUCUAAAGAUAUCAGGACAAGAACCUGGAAGUGUGGGUCCUCACUUCUUCCUUGAGCAUCUAUACUCACCCUGAACUACAGUUUCCAGAACACAUUUCACAUGAGAAGAAGAAGCAUCUUUUGUCUACAGAUCCCAAAGCAUCCUUGGACACAAUUCAGAGUUUCAUGAACUUGAGCGGAAAGAGAUUACAUUUUCAUUUUCACAAAGCCCUGAGAUUUAGCAUUCCCCUGCUUUGUGAGUGUGGACAGCAGACCAGGGUAGUAUCAGCAAUGCUUUUGGUUUUGUGUGAUUGUUUGCUCUCAAUUGGCAAGCCAGCAAUACACCUUCAUCGUCCUACCCUCAGGGAUAUAUCAACCCUCCAGCCCUGUUAUAAUUUAGUUUGCAGGCAUCUUGAUCACCUUUUCCUUCCACAAGAUGUCACACUGCUUCAUUACAUUGAUGACAUUACACUGAUUGUAUCUAGUGAGCCACAAGUAGCAACUACUCUUGACUGAUUGAUAAGGCAUUUGCAUGUCAGACGAUGGGG